rnacentral:rRNA from 1 species
GACGAACGCUGGCGGCGUGCUUAACACAUGCAAGUCGAACGGAAAGGCCCUGCUUUUGUGGGGUGCUCGAGUGGCGAACGGGUGAGUAACACGUGAGUAACCUGCCCUUGACUUUGGGAUAACUUCAGGAAACUGGGGCUAAUACCGGAUAGGAGCUCCUGCUGCAUGGUGGGGGUUGGAAAGUUUCGGCGGUUGGGGAUGGACUCGCGGCUUAUCAGCUUGUUGGUGGGGUAGUGGCUUACCAAGGCUUUGACGGGUAGCCGGCCUGAGAGGGUGACCGGCCACAUAGGGACUGGGAAAGGGCCAGGAGUCAUACGGGGGGAAGGAGUGGGGAAUAUUGCACAAUGGGCGGAGGGAGGAAGCAGCAACGCCGCGUGGGGGAUGACGGCCGGCGGGUUGUAAACCGCUUUCGCGUGUGACGAACAGUGAGUGACGGUAACGGGUAAAGAAGAACCGGCUAACUACGUG